rnacentral:misc_RNA from 1 species
GAUGAAACGUAGCGAAAUGCGAUAAGUAAUGUGAAUUGCAGAAUUCAGUGAAUCAUCGAAUCUUUGAACGCACCUUGCACCCUUUGGACUGCUCCAAAGGGUAUGCUCGUUUGAGUGUCAUUGUACUCUCACACUCUCUGAUCCUUUGGAUUUGGGGAGCAGUGGACUUGGGUGCUUGCUGCUUCCUUGUGGCUCACCUGAAAUGCAUCAGUGCAUCUCUCGAUUGGACAUAGUACGGCGUGAUAAGUGUCUUCGCCGGCACCUCAUAUGAGGGUGGCCGAUCGGGAGCUCUGUGCUUUCAAACCGUCUUCGGACAACGCUGACAACUUGACCUCAAAUCGAGUAGGACUACCCGCUGAACUUAAGCAUAUCAAUAAGCGGAGGA